GGUUCCUCCAUCCAUGGGAGUUUCCAGGCAAGAAUGCUGGAGUGGGUUGCCAUUUCCUUCUCCAGGAGAUCUUCCUGACCCAGGGAUUGAACCCAAGUCUCCCGCAUGUGGGACAUCACGUGGUGGUACCUGCUCUGUUGUGUCCGACUCUUUGCGACCCUAUGGACUACAGCCUGCCAGGCUUUUCUGUCCAUGAAAUUCUCCAGGGGAUCUUCUCGACUCAGAAAUCAAACCUACCUCCUGCAUUAGCAGGCAGAUUCUUUGCCACUGCACCAAACUGGAUGGACAUGUACACAUCGCUGCAUUUAAAAUGGAUAACCAACAAGGACCUAUAGUAUAGCCCAUGAAAUCCUUCUCAGUGUUAUGUGGCAGCCUGGAUGGGAGGGGAG